CACGUAGGGUGCGAGCGUUGUCCGGAAUUAUUGGGCGUAAAGAGCGUGUAGGCGGCUUGUUAAGUCUUGCGUGAAAUCUCGGGGCUCAACCCCGAGCGGUCGUGAGAAACUGGCAGGCUAGAGUCCGGAAGAGGCGAGUGGAAUUCCUGGUGUAGCGGUGAAAUGCGCAGAUAUCAGGAGGAACACCAAUGGCGAAGGCAGCUCGCUGGGACGUGACUGACACUGAGACGCGAAAGCGUGGGGAGCAAACAGG
rnacentral:rRNA from 1 species